CCUACGGGUGGCAGCAGUGAGGAAUAUUGGUCAAUGGCCGCAGGGCUGAACCAGCCAAGUCGCGUGAGGGAUGACGGUCCUAUGGAUUGUACACCUCUUUUGUCAGGGAGCAAAGGGCGCCACGUGUGGCGCUUUGCGAGUACCUGAAGAAAAAGCAUCGGCUAACUCCGUGCCAGCAGCCGCGGUAAUACGGAGGAUGCGAGCGUUUUCCGGAUUUAUUGGGUUUAAAGGGUGCGCAGGCGGUCUUUAAAGUCAGCGGUAAAAGCCCGGGGCUCAACCCCGGCCCGCCGUUGAAACUGGCAGUCUCGAGUUGGAGAGAAGUAUGCGGAAUGCGCGGUGUAGCGGUGAAAUGCAUAGAUAUCGCGCAGAACUCCGAUUGCGAAGGCAGCAUGCCGGCUCCACACUGACGCUGAGGCACGAAAGCGUGGGUAUCGAACAGGAUUAGAUACCCCUGUAGUC
rnacentral:rRNA from 1 species